GAUGAACGCUGGCGGCGUGCCUAAUACAUGCAGGUCGAGCGAACGGACGAGAAGCUUGCUUCUCUGAUGUUAGCGGCGGACGGGUGAGUAACACGUGGAUAACCUACCUAUAAGACUGGGAUAACUUCGGGAAACCGGAGCUAAUACCGGAUAAUAUUUUGAACCGCAUGGUUCAAAAGUGAAAGACGGUCUUGCUGUCACUUAUAGAUGGAUCCGCGCUGCAUUAGCUAGUUGGUAAGGUAACGGCUUACCAAGGCAACGAUGCAUAGCCGACCUGAGAGGGUGAUCGGCCACACUGGAACUGAGACACGGUCCAGACCCCUACGGGAGGCAGCAGUAGGGAAUCUUCCGCAAUGGGCGAAAGCCUGACGGAGCAACGCCGCGUGAGUGAUGAAGGUCUUCGGAUCGUAAAACUCUGUUAUUAGGGAAGAACAUAUGUGUAAGUAACUGUGCACAUCUUGACGGUACCUAAUCAGAAAGCCACGGCUAACUACGUG
rnacentral:rRNA from 1 species